GGUAGCUCGCGGCCGGCGGCCGCGGUAAUACGGAGGUGGCGAGCGUUGUUCGGAAUUAAUGGGCGUAAAGCGCACGUAGGCGGCUUUGUAAGUUAGAGGUGAAAGCCCGGGGCUCAACUCCGGAAUGGCCUUUAAGACUGCAUCGCUAGAAUUGUGGAGAGGUAAGUGGAAUUCCGAGUGUAGAGGUGAAAUUCGUAGAUAUUCGGAAGAACACCAGUGGCGAAGGCGACUUACUGGACACAUAUUGACGCUGAGGUGCGAAAGCGUGGGGAGCAAACAGGAUUAGAUACCCUUGUAGUC
rnacentral:rRNA from 1 species